AUUGAACGCUGGCGGCAUGCUUUACACAUGCAAGUCGAACGGUAACAGGCCUUCGGGUGCUGACGAGUGGCGAACGGGUGAGUAAUGCAUCGGAACGUGCCCAAUCGUGGGGGAUAACGUAGCGAAAGUUACGCUAAUACCGCAUAAGCCCUGAGGGGGAAAGUGGGGGACCGCAAGGCCUCACGCGAAUGGAGCGGCCGAUGUCAGAUUAGCUAGUUGGUGGGGUAAAGGCCCACCAAGGCGACGAUCUGUAGCGGGUCUGAGAGGAUGAUCCGCCACACUGGGACUGAGACACGGCCCAGACUCCUACGGGAGGCAGCAGUGGGGAAUUUUGGACAAUGGGCGCAAGCCUGAUCCAGCCAUGCCGCGUGCGGGACGAAGGCCUUCGGUUGUAAACCGCUUUCAGCCGGAAGAAUCGCCGUUUUAAUACAGAC
rnacentral:rRNA from 1 species